GUCCUUAAAAACAAGAAGCUUAAAUAGUGACCUCAUCUUAGCUCUUGUAAUGUAGUUGCAGAUCAAAUAACCAUGAUUCAUAAACCAACACAAAGGAACCCUUUGCUUCUUGACUGACUCCAGAAUGAGUGAACAACAUGACUAAGAGCCUAGUCGCAGAGCCUUUCUCCAGACUACCUUGCUGGGUCCCGGAUAUUAAUAGUCUUGGAAAGCGGUUUCUACAGCUGCUGCUUUGCCUGCAAAUAGCAAUGCUUUUCCCAAACAUGCACAUAACACUGCCUUCUCUUAACGAGAACCUCCAAAAUAAACAAUAGUCACCCCUGACCUACUAAACAGUCAUCACAUGGAGAUGAGUUUUUAUCCUCACCUUCUUGCUUCUUCAGUGAACAAGUAGUAACAAGCAGCUCCUGCGUGUGCCUCGAUCUGAGCUGGCAUACCAUUGCUGCCGAGACUGUAUAAAGUGCAAAUUGAAAAACACAGGAGACUCACGUCUAUAUCAGUGAACACAUUUUCUUUCCUUUCUUACAGGGUUUUGGAAAUUUGCCCAUCUGCAUGGCAAAGACCGAUCUUUCUCUGUCUCACCAACCUGACAAAAAAGGUGUGCCAAGGGACUUCAUCUUACCUAUCAGUGAUGUCCGGGCCAGCAUAGGUGCUGGGUUCAUUUACCCUUUGGUCGGAACGGUGCACCACUGACAUCAUGGCUCGGCUGGACUCUGGAAAGCAGGAAAUUGCUGGAGCAUGUUUGGGCAUCAAUGAUGUCAUCCGCUACGAAUGCCGGGUGGGGUUACUGGACUGAGGGCCAUGAAAAAAGAAAGCUGCGGCCCUGCCCCGUGG
rnacentral:lncRNA from 1 species